CCCUACAGCUGUAAUAGGUGCACUCCCCCUACAGCUGUAAUAGGUGCACUCCCCCUACAACCAAAGCUUAGAUUUGUGCUGUAACUUAUAAUCAGUACAGUUUCGUCUCCAUGUGCAUGGAGUUGUUUUAGUUUAGAGAGAAGAUCUUUUAGUUAACUAUAAUCCUCUAUGUGUAUGGAGUUGUUUUAGUAUAGAGAGAAGAUCUUUUAGUUAACUAUAAUCCUCCAUGUGCACAUGGUUGUUUCACUGUUGGGAUAUCUUCUAGCUAAGUAUAAUCUACCACAUUUGUUCAGCAAAAAAAUGUAUCAACCAUUAUUUUUUUAUACCCCCAAAAAAAACUGAAGUAUUAUUUAAUGGUUUAUUUUAUACUUUAAUGUUUGUUUUUGAGUCGUUAUUUAAUAAUUUAUUUCAUAGCUUUUAUUUAUUUUUAAAAACAUUUAAUUUUUUUUUUUAAUAAUUUCAUUUUAUAAUUGAUUUAAUGCUUGUGUCUUGCCAAAUUUUACCUAUGAACUAAUUGUUUUUUUUUUUAAAUUGUUGAUGUAGAUGAAAUUAAGAAGUUAGCUCCUUGAUAUAUUGUCCUAUAUUUUUUUCAAGUUCAACCGCUUGCAAUGUCUACCAUAUUUAUCCCAGCAAAAAUAAAAAAUAAAUAGUAUCCAACAACACGGGACCAACCCAUUUAAAAUCUGGCUGGUUUAAGUUUUUAAAAAACCUGGUUUAAGUUUUUAAAAAACCUGUCUGAGCAGAAUUUAAUACAUUAUUUUAAAGAGGCUGAAGUUUUGUUAUUUCUCUUUUGUUUAUACAUCUAACAUCAAUUAAUUUAUUUACCUAAACAAUGUGAUCCAGGGUUAAUUAAAUAAUUUAAUUAACAACACUAAAAGGUUUGAUAUUUUUGCUACUCAUUAUUUAGUUUUUAAUUGCUAUUUACUAUUGUGUUGAAUUCAACUAUUUUUUUGUUGUUUUUGUUUAGUUAUAAACCUGAACCUGGCUGUGAAAAAUGUAUGAAUCACAGUCUACACUUUUGUUACAAUAUUUUGUAAAAAUUUAUUUUCCUAAUUUCUUUUUCAUUAAAAAAAUCAUCAGUCUUUCUAAAUUUAUGUGUGUAUUGUUUGAGAUAUGAUGCUCAAAUAUUAAAUAGAACAUUGCAAAGUUAGAAAUAAAGUAACAUUUAUUUAGUGAGUGGCAACUCAAUUAAGAAACCACUCUUUUGCUAUGUGAAUGUUUUUUAAGUAUAGGAAAUUGUUAAAAUAUUGUGUUUGUUAGAAAGGACAAUGUUAAAAUUUAUUUGCUUUGAAUUUUAUUAAAAAGAAAACAAAAUAAUAAAGAAAAACUUUAUUUAAACUGUUGUUAAAUAAAUAUAAGGAAAUCAUUGUUUGUUUUGACUGGUGUAUUUAACCUUCGACCUUUAAUCUAACAAAGAUGAAAGUAGCAAGUAGCAUUUACAGAUAGCAUGUGUUCAUAGACUAAUUGCAUUGACAUUUUUGUGAACGUUAUCAUGACAAAAAAAUCUAGAAAAUUAAGUAAAAUAAAUUUAACUGUUAAUACCACUUGCAGUUCUGUGCAUCAAAUUGUGAACUUAAUUAUUGCGCCCAUGAUAACAUAAUGUAAACAAAAAUACAUUUUCUCACAAUUUUAGUGUGUUUACAGUAUCAUCAUUGUUGUGACCCAGAUCUAUUUACUACCACACAGGAGAUUCACUCUUUCUAGCUUUAUAGUUUUACUAUAAACUAUGUUGUACAAAGAUAUUUUUAAAAAUUAUUUAUUCCUAAUGACAGGGUUAUGAUCAGUAUUUAUGUUGUAGAAA